rnacentral:rRNA from 1 species
GACGAACGCUGGCGGCGUGCCUAAUACAUGCAAGUCGAACGCUCUCGACCUUCGGGUCAUAUGAGAGAGUGGCGAACGGGUGCGUAACACGUGAGAAACCUGCCCCGAAGACGGGAAUAACUCGAGGAAACUCGAGCUAAUACCCGAUGCCCUCCUUGGACCGCAUGGUCCGCUGAGGAAAUGCUCCGGUGCUUCGGGAGGGUCUCGCGGCCUAUCAGCUUGUUGGUGAGGUAACGGCUCACCAAGGCAUCGACGGGUAGCUGGUCUGAGAGGACGAUCAGCCACACUGGGACUGAGACACGGCCCAGACUCCUACGGGAGGCAGCAGUAGGGAAUCUUGCGCAAUGGGCGAAAGCCUGACGCAGCAACGCCGCGUGGGGGAUGACAGCCUUCGGGUUGUAAACCCCUUUCAGCAGGGACGAAAAUGACGGUACCUGCAGAAGAAGGUCCGGCCAACUACGUGCCAGCGCCGCGGUAA